UUCAGUCUCCAGAUAGUCCCGCCCAAGGCCAGGGAAGAUAUUGCAUUCAAGCAUGGACAAAGUGCCUGAAACCAGUUCCCAAACAACAUACAGAAUAAGCACAGGCAUGCCAUGAUAUCUGAUACAAUUUGAGAGAGAGGUCACCUAUAUGGGGAUAGUACUCAGCUCCAUCAUCACUGCCUGAAGAGCCACUGCUGUCGUGGCUUGCUGAGGGAGUGGAGGGCUUCAACAUCUCAGCAGUCUGCAGAAACCUACGCAGAAACAUGCAACAAAAUAAUGUGCAUUGAGAAAUCCCACAAAUGUUCCCACAAUCCCACAAUUGUUUCUUUGACCAGAUUGUGAUGUCAUACAAAAUUUGAAGUGCUCUUGAAGAAAUACAAUAAAUCAUCCAGUGUCUCAACUGAAA